ACCUUCGUGGUGUAGCGGUCAACGCACUGGACGCCAAAUUUUUUCAAGAGGCCCGUGGUUCGAGUCCCGGCGUGGGCA
rnacentral:tRNA from 1 species